rnacentral:rRNA from 1 species
AAAGCCUGAUGCAGCAACGCCGCGUGCGGGAAGAAGGCCUUAGGGUUGUAAACCGCUUUCAGCAGGGAAGAAAAUGACGGUACCUGUAGAAGAAGGUGCGGCCAACUACGUGCCAGCAGCCGCGGUGACACGUAGGCACCAAGCGUUGUCCGGAUUUAUUGGGCGUAAAGAGCUCGUAGGCGGUUCGGUAAGUCGGGUGUGAAAACUCUGGGCUCAACCCAGAGCCGCCACUCGAUACUGCUGUGACUCGAGUGCGGCAGGGGAGCGGGGAAUUCCUGGUGUAGCGGUGAAAUGCGCAGAUAUCAGGAGGAACACCAGUGGCGAAGGCGCCGCUCUGGGCCGUGACUGACGCUGAGGAGCGAAAGCGUGGGUAGCAAACAGGAUUAGAUACCCUGGUAGUCCACGCCGUAAACGUUGGGCACUAGGUGUGGGUCUCAACCAACGAGAUCCGCGCCGUCGCUAACGCAUUAAGUGCCCCGCCUGGGGAGUACGGCCGCAAGGCUA